GACGAACGCUGGCGGCGCGCCUAACACAUGCAAGUCGAACGAGCGAGAGAGAGCUUGCUUUCUUGAGCGAGUGGCGAACGGGUGAGUAACGCGUGAGGAACCUGCCUCAAAGAGGGGGACAACAGUUGGAAACGACUGCUAAUACCGCAUAAGCCCACGGUGCCGCAUGGCACAGAGGGAAAAGGAGCCAUCCGCUUUGAGAUGGCCUCGCGUCCGAUUAGCUAGUUGGUGAGGUAACGGCCCCCAAGGCGACGAUCGGUAGCCGGACUGAGAGGUUGAACGGCCACAUUGGGACUGAGACACGGCCCAGACUCCUACGGGAGGAAGCAGUGGGGAAUAUUGCACAAUGGGGGAAACCCUGAUGCAGCGACGCCGCGUGGAGGAAGAAGGUCUUCGGAUUGUAAACUCCUGUUGUUGGGGAAGAUAAUGACGGUACCCAACAAGGAAGUGACGGCUAACUACGUG
rnacentral:rRNA from 1 species